GCUGGGCACAGUUGCAUGCACCUGUAGUCCCAGCUGCUCAGGAGGCUGAGGUAGGAGAAUCGCUCGAGUCCAGGAGUUCUGAGCUAUAAUGUGCUAUGCCGAUUGGGUGUCUGCACUAAGUUCAGCAUCAAUAUGGUGACUUCCCAGGAGUGGGGAACUACCAGGUUGCCUAAGGAGGGGUGAACCAGCCCAGUUCAGAAACAGUUAAAACUCCCAUGCUGAUGAGUAGUGAAACUGCAUCAGUGAACAGCCACUGCAGUCCAGCCUGGGCAACAUAGUGAGACCCCAUCU
rnacentral:SRP_RNA from 10 species